GGGAGGCUUGCUAUUGAAAGAAGAGGACUAUGUCACAAACUACUCAAAAGAGUGAAGACACAGAAAGUGACAGCUGAUACCCUGACAACGACAACGAGGAAGGAGUGAAGACUAAAACAGAAUAUUAAUCUUGUUUUCCCUGUGAAAAGCAGUCUAUCUGUUAGAGAGAGAGAAGAAGAGAGAGAAGACAAAUCUUUACCUUUCCCCACCCACUGUGGAGCACUGUGCUCCCAAGAAGGAAUCUUGUCUCCACACCAACCUGGAAGCCCAUAGGCAGCCAAGU